rnacentral:pre_miRNA from 1 species
ACGUAGAGCAAUCUGUCUAAGUAGGGAUAAAUUACUCUUAAAAGGAGAAAAAAAUGAUCCUAGAUAGUUUUCCCUUCAAGUAAAGCGUCUUGU